ACUCCUACGGGAGGCAGCAGUGAGGAAUCUUGGGCAAUGGGCGAAAGCCUGACCCAGCGACGCCGCGUGAGGGAUAAAGGCCUUCGGGUCGUAAACCUCUUUUGUGAGGGAAGAAGUUCUGACGGUACCUCACGAAUAAGCCACGGCUAACUACGUGCCAGCAGCCGCGGUAAU
rnacentral:rRNA from 1 species